UACAGAGGGGGCAAGCGUUGUCCGGAGUUACUGGGCGUAAAGGGUCUGUAGGCGGCUACGCAAGUGUCGUGUGAAAGCCCCGUGCUUAACACGGGGAGGCCACGGCAGACUGCGCAGCUCGAGGGAUGCAGAGGGUGGUGGAAUUGCCGGUGUAGCGGUGAAAUGCGCAGAUAUCAGGAGGAACACCGAUGGCGAAGGCAGGUCUCUGGGCCACUACUGACGCUGAGACGCGAAAGCGUGGGGAGCGAACAGG
rnacentral:rRNA from 1 species